rnacentral:lncRNA from 1 species
GCAUACAUACAUACAUAAUAGAAAAAAUAUAAAAAUGUGUGUUAAUUGUAUAGAAAUCAUGCCAAGACAAUUCUGAAUUUGGCAGUGUACUACUCUUCCACUUAAGCUACAGCCAUCAAGCAGAAUUUCAUUUAUUUAUUUUUUUAAUGGACUGUGCUUCAUUGGCAAACUCCGAACUUCAAAACAUGUGAUAGGAUCUAAGUUCUUGCUGUAAAACACAGUGAAUAAUUGUUUUCUGUUUCUUUCUCUGACAUUCAUUUAUAGAAUAGAAAAAUUGUAAGGGAUCUUUCAUAAUCUGUACAUUAGAAGCAAAAUUCUUUCUUUUGUGCAGUCAAUGCAAGAAUGGAAGAAAUUCCAGAAGUUGUAUUUUCCUCCUGGGAAUAAAUCCUAAAGUAUUCAGGGAAAUGCAGUUUUCUUUGAGGAACAGCAGGUCUUCGCAUCAGACAAGACUGGUAUAAACAUAGUCUUCAGAAGUCAGCUGAUCAAUACUGUCUUGGUAAUAAACAGGAGCUUAGAUUCAGGAUUAUCCUUCUGAAAAUCUUAACCAAUGAUCCAAAUCAGUGUCUAAUAAAAAUCAAUAUGCGCUUUGUCUCAGAAUAUCAAUCCAUUCACCACACCAUAACAGAUAGACAG